CCACUGAAAAUGAUAAUCCUAGAUGUAUAAUGUGCACACAGAAGGAAACUCGAGUUAUUUCUAAUAUUAAGAGUGCAAUAAAAUAUGAUUCUGAACAUAAAGCAGAGCGGCAAAAGAAUUAAAAAUCAGAACAAGUGUACCUCCUAAAUAAGCUAGCUUGGAAAGCUUAAGCAAUGUUUUAAUUGUUGUGCUUUAACCUUCUGCCAUUUUGAAUGCGAUUUCUUUGCCCAAGGUAAAAGGAAAUUACAUCAUAUUGAUAACAAGUGAAAUAAAUA
rnacentral:lncRNA from 1 species